CUCGAGCCGCCCGCCGCUUAUCCCGUCUGCUGCCGCUCGCCGCCUGCCGCCCGCCGCUUAUCCCAUCUCCUGCCGCUCUACCGCCGCCCCAGCGCCUCUAUAAGAUGGCCCCCGGCCUCGCUUAUCCACAAGCGGCCGCGGAGGGGCUCGGCUGCCGAGCCGCCAUCAGGGGGCGUACCGGCGAGGGGCUGCGUCCACCUUGCCGUCGAGUGCCUCCUCCCCUCCGGCCGCCCCGAUUCCCUCUUCAUCCUCCAGCUCCAGCCCAACCCCGACACCCCGGACGUCAGGCGGGUCUUCCGUCGCCUAGCCAACCUCCUGGCCCCUCGGCGCGAUCCCCAUCCCCGGCUGACACCGCCCUUCGCGCCGUUGAAGAGGCCUUUGCCCACCUCUUGGAGAGCACCUCCACCAGCGCCGGUUUCGCUCCUGCUGCUCCCGGCGGCGUUUCCGUCUCAGAGAUGUGCUCUGGACGGUCUGCCCCCACUGCUGCCAUGUGCAUGAGUACGAGCGCAUGCUGGUGGGGUGUUUGCUUGGGUGCUCGAACCCCUGGUUCAUGUGCGUGUUCGUGGCUACCUAGCCCGCGCGGCUGCCCUCUCCCUGCUCGCCGGUCGCCGCCGCUCGGGUUGUUCGCGCAGGCUAAGCCACGGAUUGUGUACGAAAUAUUCACAACAAAGCAACGGUAAGCUUGCUCUAUCCUUGAAUAAAUCUUUGCAUACUUUAUUUGGGUUGCCAUCGUAUGUUUAUCCUUAUGUAUCCUAUUGAAAUUGAAUAGAUCAAACAGAGAUCCAGUUACAGCAAAGAUGCGAAAAUUGAGUAGUCAAUAUAGCAGGUGCAGUGUGAACUCCUGUUUUCCCGUAGUAACUUCAGAAAAAAGUCUCUCUACCUGGGUUAAGAAAUUCAGAACUUUACAGUGAGCAGAAUGUGGACCUUAUAAGGUCUACACAUGCAAGAUUCAGGAAUUGGAAACGGAAGUAACACGGCAGAAGUUCUCCACUGGGCUCAAGGGGAUGAAUUGUUUAACUACAGAGAGCUUCAACAUGGGGGAUGAAUUGGUUAACUACAGAGAGCUUCAACAUGGUGGCAACCUGGUGAAGAAAUGAGAGGAAGUGGAAGGAUAGAAGGUACGCUUCUGCAGAAUCCAAGUUCUCAGGAGUAUCUCACAAAUGAGUCAUCAUAGGUGAGAGAUGUCUCAUCCAGCCGGACGAUAUUAUUGACCAUUUAAUAGCAGCUGACCAACAGUUUUGGUAAUUAGAGAAGAAGACAAUUCCACAGAAGCAAAGCCAGUUCAUUGGUAGGGAGCUAAAUUAGCAGGCAUGCUACCUGUACUAAAUACAUGUUGUGCUUCCUGUCCCUUCUGUCCUUCUAUAUAUUGAACUCAUUGGCAUAUGAUGUAACCUGUUAAU